CUACGGGAGGCAGCAGUAAGGAAUAUUGGGCAAUGGACGGAAGUCUGACCCAGCUAUCCCGCGUGCAGGACGAAGGCCCUCUGGGUCGUAAACUGCUUUUACCAGGGAAGAAACGUGCGGGUUCACCUGCACCUGACGGUACCUGGGGAAUAAGCACCGGCUAACUCCGUGCCAGCAGCCGCGGUAAUACGGAGGGUGCGAGCGUUAUCCGGAAUCACUGGGUUUAAAGGGUGCGUAGGCGGCUUGAUAAGUCAGGGGUGAAAGCCCGCGGCUCAACCGUGGAAUUGCCUUUGAUACUGUCAGGCUAGAAUUGGGUUGAGGCAGGCGGAAUGUGGCAUGUAGCGGUGAAAUGCAUAGAUAUGCCAUAGAACACCGAUUGCGAAGGCAGCCUGCCAAGCCUUGAUUGACGCUGAGGCACGAAAGCGUGGGGAGCGAACAGGAUUAGAUACCCCAGUAGUCC
rnacentral:rRNA from 1 species